AACGAACGCUGGCGGCGUGCCUAACACAUGCAAGUCGAGCGCGAAAGUCUUCGGAUGAGUAGAGCGGCGCACGGGUGAGGAACACGUGGAUAAUCUGCCCUAAGGCCUGGAACAACCAAGGGAAACUUUGGCUAAUACCGGAUAAGACCCCACGACGAGAGCCGUGCGGGAAAAGCAGGGGACCUCUUCGGAGGCCUUGCACCAUAGGAUGAGCCCGCGUCCCAUCAGCGAGUUGGCGGGGUAAUGGCCCACCAAGGCCAAGACGGGUAGCUGGUCUGAGAGGAUGGCCAGCCACACUGGAACUGAGACACGGUCCAGACUCCUACGGGAGGCAGCAGUGGGGAAUAUUGGGCAAUGGGGGAAACCCUGACGCAGUAACGCCGCGUGAGUGAUGAAGGUCUUCGGAUCGUAAAGCUCUGUCGGCAGGAACGAUGGAUCAGUUGGCUAAUAGCCAAAGGAUUUGACGGUACCUGCAAAGGAAGCACCGGCUAACUCUGUGCCAGCAGCCGCCGUAACAC
rnacentral:rRNA from 1 species